UACGAGGGGGGCAAGCGUUGUUCGGAAUUACUGGGCGUAAAGCGCGUGUAGGCGGGUCUUUAAGUCAGGGGUGAAAUGCCAAGGCUCAACCUUGGAACUGCCUUUGAUACUGGAGAUCUUGAGUCCGGGAGAGGUGAGUGGAACUGCGAGUGUAGAGGUGAAAUUCGUAGAUAUUCGCAAGAACACCAGUGGCGAAGGCGGCUCACUGGCCCGGAACUGACGCUGAGACGCGAAAGCGUGGGGAGCAAACAGG
rnacentral:rRNA from 1 species